AAUCAAGUAAAAAUACGAAAAAAGGGGAAUAUAAACCCCCCAAACCAGCACACUACAACCGGCCAUAACAAAGAAGAAGAAGAAGAAGAGACUUUCUUCUUUAAAAUUUCUCACUCUCCGCUCAUUUUUACUUCAAUCUUCCGCCAUUUUUUCUUGCAAAAUCAUCCUUUAGAAACCAUAAUAGAGGCAAGAUUCUCCACCAAACUCAUCACCCUCACAUCUAGGGUUUGGGUUUUAGCAUGUGAAGGUUGAGCUUAAGAGAGAAGGAAGAGCUUUGAAGAAGUUGCUAGAUGUGGUUCUAGCAAAGAGAAAGAAAAGAUUGACGGAUUGAUGGCCUUAGAGAAGCCUUCAUCCAUUUUUGUUGCUUUUGGGAAAGAUUGUUGAUUUGAGGAGACUUGAAGCCUAGCUCAAUCUGAGACACCACACUAUCAACGAGACCUACAAGAGUAUGAAAGUGAUGUAGUUUUAGUUGUGGCAUGUACUAGGUGUCUACGUAAGUAAAUAUGUUAAUUUCAUAUUAUUUGUUCUUUGUGUUGAAUGUUGUUUAAAUUUGAGCUUGCAAGUUACACUUGUUAUUUCAUCAUCA